GGUCUGUUAGCUCAAUCAGGUUAGAGCAUCGGCUUGUCACGCCGAAGGUUGCCGGUUCGAAUCCGGUACGGAUCGCCG
rnacentral:tRNA from 1 species